AAAUAUUAGCAGAAGACUAACAAAACGACAUCCUUAGCCACGUACAAAAAUUCUCCGUUCCAAUAGAGAGAGACUUCAAAAGCAAAGCCGAUAGAAACAAUAGGUUGAAUUGAAGACGAUCUCCGCUCUGCAGCAGAAGAGAAAUGUCUGGAAGAGACCGUUAUCACCGAGAGGUUCAAGACCCUUACCAUGAUCGACGUCGUUUUACUCCCGAGAGACCAUUCCUUCGCGCCCCUCCUCCACCUUCUUCACUCUUAGAAGAUCUUCAGAUGCAAGAAUCUGAAAUCCGGAGGCUUUUGAAUGAUAACCACAGGCUAGCUGACGACCGUGUGCUUCUGGAGAGAGAGCUCGGUGCAGCCAAGGAAGAGCUUCACCGUCUGAACCUGAUGAUAUCUGAUCUCCGUGCCGAGCAGGAUCUGCAGGCGAGGGAGUUCAGUGAGAAAAGGCAUAAACUUGAAGGGGAUAUUCGUGCUAUGGAGUCUUACAAGAAGGAGGCUUCUCAGUUGCGCGGCGAAGUUCAGAAGCUGAGUGAGAUAAAACGUGAACUAAGUGGUGACGUUCAGAUACUUAGGAAGGAUUUGGUGAAGUUGCAGUCGGAUAACAAGCAGAUUCCUGGCUUGAGAGCUGAGGUUGAGGACAUGCAGAAGGAGCUUAUGCACGCUAGAGGUGCUAUUGACUAUGAGAAGAAGGAAAAGUUUGAGCUUAUUGAACAGAGGCAGAUAAUGGAAAAGAACAUGGUUUCUAUGGCGCGUGAAGUUGAAAAGCUACGAGCAGAGCUUGCUACUGUUGAUAGUAGGCCGUGGGGUUUUGGUGGAUCAUAUGGGAUGAAUCUCGGCACUAUGGAUGGCGCUUACCGUGGUUCUUAUGGAGAAACCGAUGGUUUUCUGGGAUCUUCGGAAAGGAGUCAAUAUUACAGCCAUGGGUCUGGCUCGCAGAAGAAACCUCGCUUGGAUCGUCACUGAAUCGUAUCAACGAUCCUGGGAAAAGAGAAUGAGGAAACAAAGCUUGAAAAGGACAGACUUCGAGGCCAAUCAUCUACUAGUUGGAAUCGAAAAAGGAACCAAAAUGGUCAUUAUAGAAACCAAACCGGAGGCAACAUCUUGGAUCUUUUCCCUCGCACCAACGUCUUGGUAUCAGGAAAAACUCCGUCGCCGAUUUCCUCAACCACACCAUCUCUCGUCACACUAAUGGGGUACGCAACCAAGUGUACACCGUUCAUGUCCACGACCUUUUCUCCACUGUAAAUAUCCCACAUCUGCUCCCCCAUUGUUCUUAAUCCUCGGACGCAUUCAAGACUCUCUGGCUCCGAGAAAGAUAACUCAUCCACUGUGAUCUGGCCACCUGUAUGCUCGUACCAGAGCGACAAUCGGUUAGGAGUUUAAACCAAACCUAUCAUGAUCUUGGAGUGGACAUAGACCAUGAAUCUCCUGCUCCUCUGUGCGUUCCAGUACUGCGUUUUGGGAUGCGGUGACGAAGCUGCUUCAUACUCUCCAUCUCUCUUCUCUUCUCUGUUUGCGAGACAGAAGAAGUUUAAGUAAUCUCUCGGAUGCGACCCGUCUCCAACUUCCCAUAUCGCCUCUCCGAUGAUCUUAUACAUCAUCGACAUUGUCUCUCUCGUCCAA